rnacentral:rRNA from 1 species
UACGGGGGGAGCAAGCGUUGUUCGGAUUUACUGGGCGUAAAGGGCGCGUAGGCGGCCACCGCAAGUCGACUGUGAAAUCUCCGGGCUUAACUCGGAAAGGUCAGCCGAUACUGCGGGGCUAGAGUGCAGAAGGGGCAACUGGAAUUCUCGGUGUAGCGGUGAAAUGCGUAGAUAUCAAGAGGAACACCUGAGGUGAAGACGGGUUGCUGGGCCGACACUGACGCUGACAGCGCGAAAGCCAGGGGAGCAAACGGG